UACCCUUUUGUUUUUUGACUACCUCACUUUUAGCUCAACCCAGCCUGGGUAAAGGUGGUGUAGUGGCCAUUGUGUUGUUUGUCUUCGUGUUGCUGUUGGUGGGAGUUGACGCAAUGUGUUGCUAUACGAAUCACUGUGGCAUUCUCAACUUCUUGGCCCGGAAACUGUUUGGCCCCAACGUCUCUGAAACUAAAAGUCUGGAAGAGGGCGUGUUUAACAAUACUCUAACCAUGAAUGGUCUUGAAAAGCCAAUGAGUAACAUUCCAAAACUACAGCCACAAAACAAAACAGUAAACGGAGUGCAGUCUGAAGUCACAUGUGACAAAGCGCCUCUAACUAAAUUCGAGUAGGAAAUCGCUGGCUGCGACUGAUCCUGUCAAUGAAGCACGAUUGUAAAAUGUUUUUUUAAAAUCCAACCAAGAAAAAAAAAAAACUUCGGUAAUGCAGCUAAAAGUGUAUAAACGUAUUUAUAUUUGUAAGUGUAAAUUCCAAGUUAAUCCUUGUUGCAUUUAUUGCUAUGUAGGAAAUGCAGUGUUUAAAAAAACAAAUCACUUUUGUAGAUAAAAGCUAACUGUGUACAGGCUGAUUUUCCUGACUUUCAACAGAUUUUCCUGAGAUAAUCUGUACCAACAGGGUUCUACACUUUCAGAAUGCUCUAAUGUUAAAUAACCAUUAUGGGAGGAUAGAAUUUACACUGAUGACAAUGCAUUCUUAUCAAUAAUUUAUUGAAUAUAAUUUCAAGACAUUAAUAGCAAGAAUUAAUGUUUUAUUAUGGAUAUAAUAAUCAGUUGUUUCUGCUUUGAAUUGUAUUGCUUAUGUAGUGGAAAUCUAUCAGAAGGUUAACAUAUAGUGCAUUUGCAUAUGCAAGUUUGUAUGAUAAAUUUGUAUUGUAGACAGUGCUGUAUAUGUGUUUGUAAAUACAUUUUGUCAUUUUGCAGACUGUAAUAUACUUUGUGUUUUAAAAGAAAAUACACAAUUGUGUGGUUUAUUUAUUCUAUAAUGAAGCAUAAUGAAUUAAUAAUGAAGUAGUUUCAUUCAGCACGGCAGAAGUGAAACUUAUGCCAGGUGCAAUUAUUAUUAUUAUUUUAAUUAGUGUUUAUAGUAUGUGCAGAUUAAUAAGAUUAUUAAGGUGUGCCAUGUUUGCCUGAGAAUCUCAAACUUGUUCUCUUUGUAGCCUGCCCUCUUUUAUAAACACAUUUUGCACAAUGAUACUUCUGCUAGAGAUGAUGUAUGAAGCCAGUGCAGCUGUGGCUGCAGUGAAAAGAGACUUGUUAAAUUGUGUUCUUUGGGUUUCUUGCUCUAGUAAUGCCAUUCAUUCUCGCUGCAUGAGAUACCUGUCUUUAAUGCACAGAACUGCGUUUAUGCGUUUCAGGUAGGCCACUAUUGAAGGCUUAGAUAUGAAAUGCACAGCCUGCCAGAUAUAAAAUAUCUGCCUGCCUGGUGCAAACACUGGUGCUGAUAUGCAAUGAUGUAAGAAAAAAAAAUUACAUUUAUGUAAUUUGGCAGAUUUCCUUUUCUAGAGUGACUUACAAAAGAGCUUUAAAGUCCCUGUCAAUAAUACGAUCUGAUAUUGGUUUAUUACUACACCAAAUAUUAAUAUUAAUAUUACCAAAUAUUACCAGUCUGGAAAAUUAUUUUGGGAGUGAAUAUAGUUAGUAUUUAUUAACUAAUUUAAAUAUUUCUGGAAGAGGUAGAUCAUUAUAUAUAACAUUAGGAUUUAGGAUGUCCGUUCCAACAUACCAGUACUGUGGAAUCGUUGCAGGAGUUCUCAAGGUUUAAAACUGACAUUUUUAUCUUAAUUAAUUGCUUGUCAGAAACAACAUGGAUUUAAAACACCAGGUGUGAUGCAGGAACUAAACUUGAAUGGAGCUCCUGUCCAUAACAGGCUAUGAUGCAAAAAUAUUCACAGACUCACAUUUAGUUUUGUGUGGCUAAUCCAUUGUUAGGUGAGUUUUUUCGAAGGGAAGUAGAGAACUCAAAGAAAACACGGACAACUCUGAAGAUAUAUUCAUUUUGUGUAAUUGUUUGAUGAAUUGUUUGAUUUUGUAUAAUACAUCUAUUGCAUGGUUAUACAAUAAUCUUUUUUUAUUAAGCCAUGCAAGCAUUCAAUAACAGGAAAAGAAAAGAAAAAGAAAGUGUGAUUCUAUUCAUUAAUGAAUUAAUCAAUCAAUCAUGUAGGGUUAACAUUUGGCCAGUGGUUACUUGUACUGGUUAAAAAGA